rnacentral:rRNA from 1 species
AACGAACGCUGGCGGCAGGCCUAACACAUGCAAGUCGAGCGAGGACUUCGGUUCUAGCGGCGGACGGGUGAGUAACGCGUGGGAAUGUGCCCUUCUCUACGGAAUAGCCCUGGGAAACUGGGAGUAAUACCGUAUACGCCCUAUUGGGGAAAGAUUUAUCGGAGAAGGAUCAGCCCGCGUUGGAUUAGGUAGUUGGUGGGGUAAUGGCCUACCAAGCCGACGAUCCAUAGCUGGUUUGAGAGGAUGAUCAGCCACACUGGGACUGAGACACGGCCCAGACUCCUGCGGGAAGCAGCAGUGGGGAAUCUUAGACAAUGGAGGCAACCCUGAUCGAGCCAUGCCGCGUGAGUGAUGAAGGCCUUAGGGUUGUAAAGCUCUUUCAGCUGGGAAGAUAAUGACGGUACCAGCAGAAGAAGCCCCGGCUAACUCCGUG